GUCCCCGUAGCGCAGUGGAUAGCGCGAUCCUGGACUUCUAAUCCAGAGGUCGCGGGUUCGAAUCCCGCCGGGGAUG